rnacentral:lncRNA from 1 species
GUCACAUAGUGAAAAUUGAAUUUAAAAAAUUUUAAAAUAAAUAUAUCAAUAGUUUUAACAAUUAAAACUAUCGAACCAAAACUCAAAUCCUAGAAUCAUCUUGUAGAUGUCGAACAAAACACAAACAAGCAUGCAAAAAGAUAGAAGUUUAUAUUUCUUCCAAUGAGUAGUAUGGUAAGAUGGUGACCUCCAUGAGACUCUAAAGUAUAAUCCCUCCAAUGAUGAUCCACACGAAAGUUGGCCA